GUUUCUUAAACAUAUCUACAGCUACCAGCUUGUUAUUCUGACAAAACCCUGUGAGAAUAAAUUAUUUUUAUUAAUACUCUACAUGUCAAAACCUUGCAGUCAGUCAAAUAACAGGAGUGUUCAUUGUCUCUCUCCCCCACUGAUGCUGUUCUAGGAGUUGGAGUUAGAAGAUUCAGACAUCAAGUGAAACAGUGAAAGAUGAUAAGAAAACUCUUCAUUCUCACAAGCAGGUACUCAAGUGGAACUUUUGCAAGUGGGCUCUCAUCAGGAGUGAAACACUGGCUGCUGACUCUGCUGCUUUUGCUCACAGACUGCUGCCUUUAGGAACCAGCCAUCUCUUCAGGGACUACUUUAAAUCCCAGAAUGUUCAAGAGCCAUCACUGUACAAACAGAAGCUCCAACUGAACGAAACCAGAAGAAGUGGAUAUGGCAAAUUCUCUGGUCCAAGUGGUGAUAUUAAUCUGGUGAGGCUCUGGAUUCCCAUUUCAGACAUACUAUCACAGCUUAAAUAUAGGAAAAAAUUGGGAUUUUACUUUGCUGUGGUCUCUUUUUGUUUUGCAAAAUAUGCGGUAGUUAAUAUAUGAGUAAAAUCUUGUAUAAAAACAGGUUGUUGUUUGUUUUUUGGUUUUUUUUUAACAAAUAGCCAAAUGCAUAUUACCUGCCUUGCUGGAAAA
rnacentral:lncRNA from 1 species